AAUCGAAGCGUGUAAAGGUAUUGAUUCAAGGGUGAGUGGAAUGAUGGGUGGGAUGUCAGAAUUGUAGAUGGAAUGACCUAAUUACAUGUUCAAGCAAGGACAAUGGUGAGCUCUUUGGUAGCAGUUGUCCUAACAGCCCACACUAAAGUUGAAACUGAUACAAAGAAAACUAAGUUACGAGGUGCAGAACAUUUUUAGAAUUUAGGGCAGGAACUAGCCUUUCUUUCACUUUGGGGGGAAAACUAAGAUUUGACAGAUUGGGUUUGUAGGAUUUUCAGGUAUUUUCUCAAGACUCAAGAAAACGGAAGACUUUGAAACACCUUGUACUUAGCCAACUUCUUAGUACUCAUGCAUGGACAAGACGCCAGUGGCAAGCAGAAAGUAGUUGCUGAAAAACUAAGGAAUUAAGCAGAGAUUUCAGUGGUCAUGAGGUGUUGAAGAGACAAAGGCUCCAUGUUAACAAAAGAGCAAGCCCUCUAGAUUCUCAGUUGAGUUCUCUGAAGACCUCUAGAGACACCUUAUGCAGCUGUGUUUUUAGCAAUUCUUGAUAUUCUGUAUCAUGUUGAAGAGAGAAAUUUACACCACAUAUAUAUAUGGCUCUUCUAAUGUUGAUUUUUAUAGAAGAGGAUGGAUUCACUAAAUCAUUCAUGAAAUGCCAAAGAAGUAAUAGUGUUCCUAAUAAAAUUACCACAGAAAUUAUUUAUGUUGUCUUCCAAAAGGAGAGUAUCAAUAUAUGAAAACAGACUAAUGAUGGGGAAACAUAGAAGGUAAUAUGCUGUCAAUUCUCACAGAGGAAAGUGGCUAUUAUGCUCAUUAGAGGUCAGUGUUAGUUCCCUUAUUAUCAUACAAAUUUAUUAAUGAUCUGGAAAAUUUAGUAA
rnacentral:lncRNA from 1 species